rnacentral:rRNA from 1 species
CGCCCAUACUCCUACUUUAUGCAGCAUUGAUUAAUAUUUUUCAAUUUACUAUAUUCUGAACCAUCCAAGUAGCUUGAAUGAUUACUGCCCUAUGUGUUGUAAACUUCUUUUAUAUUGGAAUAAAAUUUUCCACUUGUGGGAUUUUUUAUGUACCAUAUGAAUAAGUAUCGGCUAACUCCGUGCCAGCAGCCGCUGUAAUACUGAUGAUCCUAUCGUUAUCCUGAUUUAUUGGGUUUAAAGGGAGCGUAGGUGGAUUGUUAAGCAAGUUGUGAAAGUUUGCGGAUAAAAAGUAAAAUUGAAGUUGAAAAUGGAAGUAUUGAGUAAAGUAGAGGUGGGAGGAAUUAGUGGUGUAGAGGUGAAAUGAUUAGAUAUAAAGAAGAAAUAAGAUUGAGAAGGAAGUUAAAUGGAAUGAAAAUGAAAAUGAGGAUAGAAAGUGUGGGUAUAAAAAAGGAUUAGAUAAAAGAGUAG